rnacentral:rRNA from 1 species
UACGUAGGUGGCAAGCGUUGUCCGGAUUUACUGGGCGUAAAGAGCGCGCAGGCGGUCGUUCAAGUCGCGUGUGAAAGCCCCCGGCUCAACUGGGGAGGGUCACGCGAUACUGAUCGACUCGAAGGCAGGAGAGGGUAGUGGAAUUCCCGGUGUAGUGGUGUAAAUGCGUAGAUAUCGGGAGGAACACCAGUGGCGAAGGCGACUACCUGGCCUGUUCUUGACGCUGAGGCGCGAAAGCUAGGGGAGCAAACGGGG